AAUAAAAAAAACAGAUGUGAUCAAAAUUGGAAGGGAAAAUAUAAGGAAAAAAAAUAGAAAGUUGGAUGCUUUGAUGGAGAUGCACACAGGUGGAGGAUAUGAUAUUGAUCUUAUUGAGGAUAAUCAAGGUGUUGAUGAAGUAUCAAGGGUUCAGAAGAUUGUGUGCAAGUUUUAAUCCUAGCAGAAAGAAUGCAUUAGAUAUUGUGCUAUGCUGCAGCUGCGGAAAUCACCAUAAACCAUGGAUCCAAGC